rnacentral:pre_miRNA from 14 species
UCCAUCCUGCAGUACUGCCUGUUGACCAAUGUCUUACCAGACAAGGUUAGAUCUAGUUACUCUCGUCUAAUACUGUCUGGUAAUGCCGUUGGUCACAUUGGCCACAUCUUCAGCAUGUG